UCCAGGUUUCCUUUUAUAGAAGGAUUUUUGUUACCUGGGAGGUGAUAGGAGGUUUGUCCUUUUGUGUGAUAAUUGGGCACGAUUUGGCCCAUUAAUGGCGUAGUGGAAAACGGGACCGAAUCGGACCGGAAUCAGGGAGUUGUCACGGUCGAUCGGACCUGUUGGAGUGGUUGAACCGCCGGCUAUGGUGGGCCUGGGGUCCGUGGAUGGUAAGUGCAUUUAUUA
rnacentral:lncRNA from 1 species